CCUACGGGAGGCUGCAGUGGGGGAUAUUGCACAAUGGGGGAAACCCUGAUGCAGCGACGCCGCGUGUGGGAAGACGGUCCUCUGGAUUGUAAACCACUGUCCCCAGGGACGAAGAUGACGGUACCUGGGGAGGAAGCUCCGGCUAACUACGUGCCAGCAGCCGCGGUAAUACGUAGGGAGCGAGCGUUGUCCGGAAUUACUGGGUGUAAAGGGAGCGUAGGCGGGGAUGCAAGUUGGGUGUCAAAACUACCGGCGCAAGUGGGAGUCGCAGACAAAACUGCAGCGCUUGAGUGAAGUAGAGGCAGGCGGAAUGCGUAGUGUAGCGGUGAAGUGCGUAGAUAUUGGGAGGAACGC
rnacentral:rRNA from 1 species